rnacentral:rRNA from 1 species
AUUCUGGAGUAGGAGCCUGAGAACGGCUACUACAUCUACGGAAGGCAGCAGGCGCGUAAUUACCCAAUCCUCUCUCUCCCCCAGGUGGUGACAAGAUAUAACAACGCGGUUAUUAUCGCGAUUGUAGUGAGGAUAUUCUAAACAGAACCUAUAGUACGAUUAGAGGGCAAGUCUGGUGCCAGCAGCCGCGGUAAUUCCAGCUCUAAUAGCGUAUAUUAAAGUUGCUGCAGUUAAAAGCUCGUAGUUGGAUUUCAAGGAUUGUGUACUCUCUCAGAGUAUGCACCCUACUAGUCUUUGUCUUGUUACUGUGAGAAAAUUAGAGUGUUUAAAGCAGGCUAUUGCAGAUACAUUAGCAUGAAUACGAAUGUAUCUAGAAUCUUGGUUAAUUCUAGGUUCGAUUAUAGAGACAGUGGGGGCAUUAGUAUUUAACUUGCCGCGGGAAAUUCUGGAUUUGUUAAGACUACCGUAUUCCUAAUGCAUUUGCCAGGAUGUUUCAUUAUCAGACGAAGAUAGGGGAUCCAACGACAUCAGAUACUGUCGUAGUCCUAUCUAUAACUAUGCCGACUAGGAUGGAGUGGCCAUAACCAUUUCAGUACCUAUGAAAAUCCAGUCUUUGGGUUCUGGGGGGGUUGUCGCAGACUGACCUAAGAAUGACGAGCCACAGAUGACCUGCGCUAUGACUCACCGGACUACAGUCAACAUAGAUGCAAUGUAGCCUUUGAUCUGGGGGCAGGCCUCUAUUGGAGUAUGCUGUAUCGUACCGGACUACCGCUCAACCUUCUAUUGAUACUCUAAGCAUCGCUUAU